CCCCUAGUAACGGCGAGUGAAGAGGGAAAAGCCCAGCACCGAAGCCUGCGGCAGUUUUGCUGUUAGGCAAUGUGGUGUUUAGGUCGGCUCGCGGGACUGCUGCUCCAUUCUAAGUCCAGCUUUGAGUAUGGCUUCUGGACUUGGCCCACAGAGGGUGAAAGGCCCGUUCGAAUGGAGGAUAAGAGAAGUGAGUAGUCCACUAUGCCGGCCUUCGAGUCGGGUUGUUUGAGAAUGCAGCCCAAAGAGGGUGGUAGACUCCAUCCAAGGCUAAAUACUAGCACGAGUCCGAUAGCGAACAAGUACCGUGAGGGAAAGUUGAAAAGUACUUUGAAGAGAGAGUAAACAGUACGUGAAACCGCAUAGAGGUAAACGGGUGGCGUCAAGCUGCACGCUUAGAGGAUUCAGUCGGUCAGGAUGUUGUGUAUGCGCCUGGCGCAUCUAUCAGUCGGAGUGAGAUAAAGUAGUCCGUUGGGUAACAGCGGGCCCGGCCGAAAGGCUGGGAUUUGUAUUCCGUGUUAUGUGCGGAGCUUGCUACUUGUCUAUGGACUGCCUGGCCGAUGCAUUUUCUCUGUGGCGAACACCACGACCGGUGGUACUGCCAGUCUGCUGUGGUAAAGUCGGGUUCAGUCGGCCUUGUGUUGGUUGAGCUUGAUCAUAGGCAAGCGGUGUGCGGGUGCGUACGUACUUGUACACCGCUUUGUCAACGGGUCUGUUUGCUGACGAUUGUAGUAGUUGGCGAAUGGCCUGGUGGACCAUGGUGGUAAGAAUAACUGUGCAGGGCACCGGUGAUUUCGGUCUCUAAUUUGGCUCGCUCACACACUACAAGUGGGUGUGGGUCGUCGUUGCAGUCUGCCUGUGAUUGGGUUUGAUUGUCGUGUUGCCUGCGCAAAGUAGGUCCGGCAGUAGCCUGAUUUUGGAUGGUAUUGCUAGCGGCGUCUCUUCUGCGGGCUGAUGAGGGCCU
rnacentral:rRNA from 1 species